rnacentral:lncRNA from 1 species
CAUGCUCUCACUGAAUUGCUUAGGUCCUCACUAUGUUGCUGAGGUUGACUUUGAACUUGUGAUCCCCUGCCUCAGCCUGCUUUUUCAGUGGAAUUGCAGUCAUGGAACCCCUUCAGCAAGAAUCCUCUUUUUCUGAGAAAACCAGUGUAGGCGUGAAAAAAGGGUGUGUGCCUUCAUUUCUUUCUAUUCAGAGGUAAGGAGAAUGCACCCUGAAGUGGAUGUAGGAAUUGUGUCAGCAUGAAGAUGUGAAAGCAACAUGUUUCUCCCAGUUAAAUAUCUCUUCUUGUUAGAUUUAAUUUUUCUCUCUAUUUGUUGAUCUGUAGUCAACUCUCCCAUAUGAUGACAUAAUCUUAUAUUUACUGUGUGUGUGUGUGUGUGUGCGCGCGCACGCGCAAAUUCUACUGUGUAGUGUGAUUUUGUACAUAGAAGUAUGUUAUAGAGUAGUACACAAGAUUUGUAGUUAAAAUGUAUUAACCUGUAUUUGCAGUUUUUAAAUUUUUUUUUAGAGUUUUCAUCUCUCUUCUUCCCUUGAGUCCAAUUUCUCUCAUAUUGCCCAUUUUUUUCCACUAAAGACCUUAGCAAACAAAUGAUAUUUUAUGACUCUGGUCUCAUAAUUAAAAAUAACUUUUUCCAGGUUUAUGAAUAAUAUGAUAUUUUCUGUCUCCUCAUAUAUCUUAUGACUCUUAUAUAUGUUGUGAAAAAAUUAAACAAUGUGAGAAGUUUUAAAUAUAAUUACCAGGGUCAUAGAAUUGAGGGCAAAAGAAAAUAAACAUUACUAUUAUAAUUAUCAUCAUCAUUAUCACCACCACAACCACCAUCAUAUCUGAAAUGCAUAAGCCCUGAUCCCAUCUCUACCCCUUUUUAUUUCUUUCUUUCUUUUUAAAAAAAAUUUUGAUUGAAGUAUUUUUAAAAUUCUUUCCAAGGGCCUCAGUAUGUUAGUGAGGCUGGGUUUGAACUUGUGAUUCUCAUUCUAUAGCCACUGGGAUUACAGAUGCGCUAUCAUGCCUGGCUCCUGGAUGUUUCUUGAAACUGUGAUGUAAAUCAGUAUAUGCCUGGUUUUUGCAGAGUUUCCAAGUCUUAAUUGAUUCAGAGGCAGGAAUUCCUUUUUACUGUGUUUAUGUACACUAAUGCCCUUAAAGCUCUAAGAUUCUAGAAUGAUUCUGAGCAUCAGAAAGACAUUAAUUCACAGCUUAUACCCCAAAUUUUUAUAUUUCCAGAUGGACUAAACUGAAGUCCAUUUUGAAAAAUUUUAUUUUAGAUAAUUUUUGUUGAAAAGAGGGUGGGAGAAUUGUUUUAAUAUUUCAGGGAAAAAACUAUUCAUUUGUAUUAAGAUCUUAUGAUAAAAUGAAAUGUAAGUAAUCAAUAUGAGUAUUACAUAAUUUUCUUAACAAACAUUUUUUUGUACCCUCUGUGCACCAGACACCAGAUAAUCAACUUUGCAGAGUCACAGAGACUAUGGAACGUGCCCUGGUGCUCAUGUGAGUGUUAUCUAGAGCACCAAGUGAAACUACAAAAGCAAACACCUGAGAGGGCUGAGUUGUGCCACCCACACAUGCACCCUCAUACCCACGUGCACACACAUGUACAGGAUCAAGUCACCCUUUUCACUACAUACCCUCCAUAGUGAAGUUCUUUCAUCCUCUCUGUGUAAUGCAACUAUUGAUUUCUUUGACUUUUCUCACAACAUUGCUGCCCACUAUUUUUUUUUCUCAAAAAUCAAUUAUUCCGUCAUGACUUCUCAACUUAUUCUUUUGUGUCUUUCUAAAGUUUGCUUACACAUUGUGUAUGUGAGUUGAGGCCUGUGCACUCCAGCAUUCUGUGCAGAUUGGCUAAAUAUCUCUUUUUUUCCUCCUUUGCUCCCUUCUUUCCUUCAGAUUUCACCCAGGAGUGCUCCACCACUGAGCUUCCCCCUAGCCCUUUUAUUGUUAUUUUUUGAGAUGGGGUGACGCUGGCCUCAAACUUGUGGUCACCCUGCCUCAGCCUCCUAGCAGCUGGGACCAUAGAGAUAUUCCCUUUUGUGCCCUGCUACUGGCCUCUUCCUUUUCCUUGGUGCCUUAUUGUCCUGUUGAUGACUCUGGGACCACCACUCUGUCACUCGUAUUUCUUCUAAGCCUCAUGUGUUGUGUUGUAUGUAGGCACAUUAAAGGGCAUUAUAAAAGUUGUAAUUUGUAUGUAUUGUUUGGAGAGGCAUCUUCUCAAAAUAUACUUUGCCCUGUACUUAAUUGAGUUGCUUUCUAUUUCUUCUCAUUCCCUGGUGCCAGGGACCCAAUCUUGCCUUGUGCCUGCUAGACAGGUGCUCUAUCAGUGAGCACUCCCCUAGCUCAGGUGGAGAGUUUGCUGCUGCUGUGUUUGUGGACCCCACUGAUGACCACGUCAGUAGAUGCAGUGCUGCAGGUUUUCCUCCAUGUUUUCAUCUGGUCCCUUUCUUCUUAAACAUCUUUAACAGCAGGGAAUUUUAACCACUGACAUCCAAUUUAGCUUUUAUCACCAUGAUUAAUACUUAGGUGGAAUAUGCCGGAAAACCCAGGCUGGACUUCUCUCUGUGUUCAGGGAACCUCAGUAGCCCUGGAACCAUCGUGUGAUGAUUUUCUUCAUACACAGCAUGUGAUCAAAACUAGGUAAAGAGGGCCCCAGUUGAAUGUCCUAAUGUAUUGGUGCCCCCUUCUGCACCUAAGAAUCUUAAGUAAGCUUCUCCAGAGACCCUCACCAUCAUUUUCUUUAAAACAAAUAUCAGAAAAAAGUUUUGCAAAGAACUCAAUAUGCGUUAGAAUGAAGAUAUAAUGAUGUUACUUCUUCUCUUCUAGUAAAGCUUGGAAGACACGUGAAUAAUCUCAAAAAUGAUUAAAAAUUCACUUUUUUGAACAACCAACGAAAAAUUUUCUGUAGACUCCUACAAAAAAAAUAAAAAUAAAUAAAUAAACCUCCACCCCCCUCCCUGGGUGUAAAGAUGAUGAAAUUCCAACAUCAAGGUACAGAAAAUUUUAGGUGAUACCCUUCUGAGCCCUGCUGUCAAUGAGUCUGCUCCCUGAAUCUUCCCCAGGCAUCCAGGCUCAUCUGCCCCUCAUCACUAAUAGAGCCUCAACUGGCAAAAAAUUUCACAUGGUAGCCAGGAAUUUUUCUUUUAACAUUAACAGCAGGGUCUCUGAUGAGAUUCAGGAGCACUAGUUUCAAGGUUCCCAGACAGUUUAGAGCUUUCUUACCAUCAGUCAUGACCCAUUUGAAGUCCACAGUGGGUGUAGCACCCUGGAGGUGGUCAGCCUUCAUGAAGGCAAUACCCCUCUUGACCCUACAGCCAGUAAAUUUCCAGGAUCCAGCUUUCCAGUGCUUGCCCUGUACUGCAAGGGGUUUGCAUGUUUAUAUAAACUUCUGGGUGUUCUUGCUGUGCUCUGCUGGGGUCAUUGUGCCCAAGAGGCCUGGACACUGCUGGUCCUGGGGUCUAUUAAUGACUGUGGAGCAGGAGGCACUUGCAUGGAUGCCCAUUUACUCCUGGGUCUGAUGAACAUCCUGGGCCAUGACCACCCAUUCGUGCCUGGAUCUGCUCUUCACUGUCGCCUUCUUCCCUGCACUGCCUGAGCUCAGAGUCCCCUCAGUUCUCCACAUUCACAUUCCUCUUUCCUGAUGGCCUUAGUGGGCACCAGGAAACAUACCCCCUCUUAGCCUCAUGGGCUCCUUCCAGACCCCUCUCUGCACAGGUCAGCAUGGUGUAUGCCACAGGUUUGGCAUCUCCUCCUGCUGUGCAGUCUUGGUCCAGUGGGCCCCAGGGUCAACCUGGUCUGUGCCACAGGGUGAACAAUUCCCCCUGUCCUGUGGAAACCUGGUAUACUCUGCCUGUACCCUGGGUAUCCUGCCAGGGGGAGAGACGGCCUCCAGCAGAAAACCUGGGUUCUGAUCUGCUGUGAUAUUGGGAUUUAAGGACCUCCAUUGACCUGUCCUGUUCCCACCCUAGGGAAGACUGUGCAGGGCACCAUGGAUGUAUUAUGCUCCCUGGAACAUGCCCCCAGGGAGAACUGUUUGUGUCAUUUGUGACUGGCUGUGAUUUCUAAUUUGUUUUUACUUGUAGUCUGAGGUAAACACAAAUUCAUUCAGCAAAAAGUGAGUUGACCACAUGGGAAAAGGGGUUGGGACAGAAUUUUUUUUUUUUUCCUCUGGGAGAGCAUAUUUCUUGAUAUUGUAAGUGCUGCUGGGAUUGAGACUGCAUGAUUUGGAGGGAGUAUAAGAAAAGCAAAGCAAGUGAAAACAUUGUGACAUGGGCUUCUGAAAAGGUACUUUCAACUGCUUCAAUGGAUAAAAAUGAAAGUGGACCAUUGAUCUCAAUUUGAUGUAAUUUUACAUAAGUAAAAAUAUCCUCCCAUUAUUGAAACAAACUCAUGAUAGUUAAGGCUGCUUCCUUGUGAGGUGCAGACUCUGUUUUAUUAAUAUAACAUUAUAGAUAGGUGUUACAAUAUUAGAAGACUGGAACACAGGUAAUAAAGCAGAUGCUGUGGUGGCUUUUUUGACACCCAAGAAAACAUAUCUGAUUUAUGAGUCAUUCAUUAUCUCUCUUCACUCUCUUUUUCCAAAAUUUUAAAUCAGAAUAAUUAUGUCCAUCUCGUGGUAGGUGAGUCAUUGACAGUCCUACAGAAAAUUAAACAUGAUAGAUAUUAUUGUAGUAUUAUUUGGUUGUAAAUAGUGUGUUUUUACUUGCUAAUAACUAAGUUACUGAAACAUCAUGAUACAUGAGGUUAUCAAUCUGAUCUUUUUUCCUGUUGAUUUGAAAUUACAUUUAAAAAAUAAUUUACUUUUCUCAAUUUUUUUAUUUUACUAAUUAUCAAACUUCAUGCGAUCAUUAAAUAUCAAUUGCUUCAUAAAUACUCAGAAUUUUACCUAAAUUAUUUUACAAUACAAUUGCCCAUCCAAAUUUGAAAUAACUGAAGUUCAUUUAAAAGUUUUGGCUUUACAUUAAGGUAAAGAUAUAUAUAGUGAAAUUUUUCAACCAUUUUUAAGUGCAUAAUUUUGUCCUAUUAAGAGCAUUCACAUUGAUGUAUGACCAUCCCUGCCAUGCAUCUUCAGAGGUUUUUAAUCUGUCCAAAGUAAAACUCAUGAAACACUCUCUCCCCUUCCCUUAGUCCCAGGCAACUUUCACUCCAAUUCCUGUCACUAGUUCAUGAUUGGCUUCUAUCAUGAAGUAUAAUCUCUUCAAUGUUCACUGUUAUUGUGGCCUAUGUCUCUGUGUACAUUUUUGUCUCCACAGUUUAUCAUUGUGUAUAUCUAUCACAUUUUGUCAUUCACCUCAUAAUGGAUGUGGCACACAGAUAGCUGUUUUACCUUUAUUUACUUAUUAUUACUAUCUGUGUGUGUGUGUGUGUGUGUGUAUGUGUGUACGCACCCCACUGGUGAAAAUCCUGGAUUAUUUAUUAAGUCAAGGAUUAUUGUUUUGAGGAAUCACUGUACUGCUUAACACAUUGGCAUCACUAUUUCAAAUUUCCAAAAAACCCAGCAAAGUUUCAAGUUCUACACACAUUUUGUCAUUUAUUUUUGAAUAAAUUUUUUUCUUGUGGAUGUGAAAUGGUUUCUCAUUGUGAAUUUGAUCCUCAUUUCACUGAUGAGUACAGGUGCAGGACAUGUUUUAAUGUGUUUAUUAUCCAUUUGGAUAUCGUCUUUGGAGAAAUUUAGUCUUCAAGUUCUUUGUUCAUUUUCUAGUUGGUCUUUCUCCUUCAUGUGUGCACACAUAAUCCCACUUGUGUGGAUCUUAAUGUUUCAUGAUGUGAGCUUUCCUCAAGUCUAGUGAACUUUGGCUUUAAUAUAAUAUAUAAGCCUAAAAAGCACAGAAUUAUUGGUGGUACUUCUCAAAAUUGUCCAAUGAUGAACUUCAUCAAGACUGGAAUCUUCUAUACUCUUGUGAUCUGCAUAUUGUCAGGAUGACAGCUCCUCCUUCCACUUUCACAAGAUCCAAAUGACAGACGUUGUGUUCAAAUUCAUUUUUGAAGAGUUCAUAAAGCUAUGAGUUUGGUGCAUAAGCAUCCCAGAAGCACAGAUACAUACCACAAAUGCUAUUUGUGAAGAGCUUCAGCACAGCUGGGAAGCUGCAGUGAACAUAGGCAUAGAUGUCAGAUAUGGAAAUGACAUUUUACUGAACUCUGGAGAUUGGAUGAAAACCAAAAAGAGACUGGGUGGAAGUGAACAGUGAAAAUUCAGAGUAUGAAUUUCUGUGACUUUGUAUGUGAGGCCUUGGCAAUAAGAAUUCACUGUGAAUUUUAGAACAGAGAAAAAAAUGAUGUUUCCUGACUUAAGAUAUGCCACACCUGGGAAUGUUGUACAAAGAAUAUUAAAGAAGAUAAAAACAUUUUCUUACAUUACAUAAUAAAACAAAGAAAUUUUUGAAGUAAGCCUUAAAAAUAAAUAUAGAAGAAAGAAAUGAUGCUGUGAUGAUUUUAAAACAUUUUGUAAUAUGGACCUCUAUUGGAUGAAUUUAAAUGAAUUUUCUAUGCCUAUAUCCUGGAAAAAUAAUUCCUUAUACUAAUUUGUAAAUGCAUUAGUGGAUACAAGACAUUCAUAUCCUACUGAAGUUGUAACAAAUGUUAUGGUUCACUAAAUUUCCAAGUUUCUUAGAAAACAUUUUGGUCAUAAUUAGUCUCAGAAAAUAUUAAUUUUUAAAGAAGAACAUAGGAUUUCUUUUUGACAAAUACAAAAAAACCCCUGGUACUUAAUUUAAGAUGCACAUAUUUAAUGAAUAACAUAUAUCCUGAUUGCAGAAAGAAAUUUUCCAAAUUGACUUAAUAAUCAUUACUCAACACACUGAUUCUUGUUUCUCAUACCAAGGUGAACCCUAAUAAAGCUCUGUGGCAAAUUAUGAUGAAGUGUCCAUUGAUUUUAUCUUGUUGGAAUUGUUUCCAUCAUAGAGAGUUAGUCUUGUUGGGCACAGUGUCACACACUUAGAACUCCAGUGGACCAGGAGGCUGAGGGAGGAGGAUGACAAAGUUUUGCUCAUCACCUUAGUGAGGCCUUAAACAACAUAGCAAGACCCAGUGUCAAAAUAAAAAUUAAAAGGUCUGGGGAUGUUGCUCAGUGGUUUUGCACCCCUGGGCUUAAUCCCCAGUAAC